rnacentral:rRNA from 1 species
GACGGAAGGUGCAAGCGUUGCUCGGAAUCAUUGGGCGUAAAGGGUGCGUAGGCGGCUUGGUAGGUCUGGUGUGAAAGCCCCGGGCUCAGCCCGGGAAGGGCACUAGAAACUGCCAAGCUAGAGUGCCGGAGGGGAGAGUGGAAUUCCUGGUGUAGCGGUGAAAUGCGUAGAGAUCAGGAGGAAUACCGGUGGCGAAAGCGACUCUCUGGACGGCAACUGACGCUGAGGCACGAAAGCGUGGGGAGCAAACAGG